rnacentral:rRNA from 1 species
UAUAGGCUUAGAAACUGGUGAACUAGAGUGCAGAAGGGGCAAGUGGAAUUCCAUGUGUAGCGGUAAAAUGCAUAGAUAUAUGGAGGAACACCGGUGGCGAAGGCGGCUUGCUAGUCUGUAACUGACGCUCAGGCACGAAAGCGUGGGGAGCAAAUAGGAUUAGAUACCCUAGUAGUCCACGCUGUAAACGAUGGAUACUAAGUGUUGGGGUUACCCAGUGCUGUCGCUAACGCAAUAAGUAUCCCGCCUGUGGGGUAUGCACGCAAGUGUGAAACAUAAAGGAAUUGACGGGGGCCCGCACAAGCGGUGGAGUAUGUGGUUUAAUUCGACGCAACGCGAAAAACCUUACCAAGUCUUGACAUCCUUGGCAAAGCUAUGGAGACAUAGUGGAGGAUAUCCGAGUGACAGGUGGUGCAUGGUUGUCGUCAGCUCGUGUCGUGAGAUGUUGGGUUAAGUCCCGCAACGAGCGCAACCCCUAUCUUCUGUUACCAUCAUUCAGUUGGGGACUCAGGAGAGACUGCCGGUGACAAACCGGAGGAAGGUGGGGAUGACGUCAAAUCAUCAUGCCCCUUAUGACUUGGGCUACACACGUACUACAAUGGUGACUACAACGAGCUGCAAGUGAGUGAUCACAAGCUAAUCUCUGAAAAGUCAUCUCAGUUCGGAUUGAAGUCUGCAACUCGACUUCAUGAAGUUGGAAUCGCUAGUAAUCGCGAAUCAGCAUGUCGCGGUGAAUACGUUCUCGGGCCUUGUACACACCGCCCGUCAAACCAUGAGAGUUGGUAAUACCCGAAGCCGGUGGCCUAACCGUAAGGAGGGAGCCGUCGAAGGUAGGACUGAUGAUUGGGGUUAAGUCGUAACAAGGUAACC